rnacentral:lncRNA from 1 species
AAAAAAACGUGAAACGGUAGUUCUGAUUAUUGAAAUGUUAACCUGAUUUAACAAAAGAUUAAAUCAGAAGCAGUUUGAGAUCUGAGAAUUGGGGAAAACCAGAAAAUAUAAAAUGAGGGUAGAGUGAAAUUAGGGUUUGGAGAAGAAUCGAAAAAGUGUGGUGAAUGUAAAAAAAAAAAGAGUAAGAGGUAGAGAAUGA